AAAUUGAAGAGUUUGAUCAUGGCUCAGAUUGAACGCUGGCGGCAGGCCUAACACAUGCAAGUCGAACGGUAACAGAAAGAAGCUUGCUUCUUUGCUGACGAGUGGCGGACGGGUGAGUAAUGUCUGGGAAACUGCCUGAUGGAGGGGGAUAACUACUGGAAACGGUAGCUAAUACCGCAUAA
rnacentral:rRNA from 1 species